rnacentral:lncRNA from 1 species
AGGCGAUUUCCAGCACGUGGAAGGUAAGAGGGACGUGUCCAGACACCUUCUGGGGAUCGUGUGCAAUUAACUAACCACCUCAGUUCGUUUGGACCCAUAAUUUAUCCCUAACGCCAUCCACCAAGCGUGGCACGACUGGCGCCGGUGCCUGUUCCGCUAACCUUUAGCUCUGUGCUAUUUAUUCUGCUGCUGUUCUUAUUCCCGGGCGUGACAAUUUUGGGAAAGGGCUCUGAUGUUCAUAAAAAUGUAAUCACACAACGUGCGUGUUUCGUGCAGGAGGCGGUGAGCAGGUGCUGCUGAAAAACGAAAGCUAUUUGCCGAUCUUGAAAAAUAAAGACCAGAGGAAGAGGCUUGUCCAUGAAAUCUGCUCCUUUCUAGACAGCAGUCAGUCUGUGAGUAACAGUUCCGAAAGCACUCUUGGGGACGGUCACAACGCAUUAGUGACAGGCUGGCUGUUGAGGCUUGGGGAUGGGGACGAGACGCGAAGUUUUCUCACGCAGCAGCGUGACCGAGCUGUUCAAAAGCGUCACGUUUCUCCCGGCUGCAUUAAGAAUGAAUAUUUUUCUCUCCUUGCAAGCUGUGCUCUUUUACCUUUCUAGUGAGUAAACGGGGUGCGAUUUAAAAAUCCCGAUUCCUGCAGGCAAAAAGCAGUUGUGGUGCCUUUUGCAAGUCCAGGGACAAUCUCUGCAGUCUAGUGAGUUGAGGAAGUUUGGCUUAUAAACACAUAAAAGUGUGUGAGUGUGAUUUAGCAAGUGUAAUACCGUCCCUCUGCAGUGUGCAGGUUGUGCACCUCGUGGCCGCUGUCGUUUCUGCAGAGAGGGAGCUGGCACAUCGCAGGGUGUGUUGCAUUUAGAGAAAAGCCAUCCUUAAUUCUGGAAGAAUUGGGUGUUUUUGCAUUCUUGUCUGCAUCUGGAACAUCGUAAGCAUUGCAACAGCAGAAACAGAAGCGGUGCAAGCAGAAUGUUUGUUAAUUUAAAGAAAUUAUAUUGGUUUGGCAUCGAUUUCGUGUUGUUUUCCAGAACA